UGCUUUUAUAUGUGUUUGUGUUGAUAAACAUUCAAUAUAUUAUUUCUUAUUGCUCGCAUGCAAUCAUAAUAUUGACAUUUUGACGAAAUAUAUACACACGAUACAAUGACAUGAUUAGCUGUUGGCACUGAUGAUAACAGUUUAAAUGCCUAUUUAAGGAAUUGUUUGGUUUUGAGAAAGCUAUUAUCAGUUAUCGGUUCAAAUUUAUGAGAUUUUUUUUCUAUACUCUCUCUCUGACACUUUAAUAACCUGAAGGCCGAUGAGAUAAGAAAACAACGUGUUUCUGAGGAAAUUUGAUGGCUCAAAGUCUCGUUAGAAGACGACGUUGUGCGUCGUUUCAUUGUCGUUGUCGUCGUAUUUGAAAUAUAUUACAGGGAUUAUCACACGCAGAAUUUAUCUCAUAUGUUCAUGUGAGAAUGUUUGUAAUCUAUUCAGAAUCGCAUAAGAGGGUAUUAAGUGCUAAAAUACACUCUGCUAACAGCAAAAAAAAUGCUAUAGUGUGUAUCAAGGUGAAUUAAAAUUUGACACGCAAUUUUUGUGUGAAAAAUGUGGGAGAGAGGAGAGUUCUCUUGACACCUUUAAAUAGGAUUUAAGACUAUGGCAGGUGAAGUGGGUGAGUUUAUUAGCAUAUUUUAAUUUGAAAUAAAUUCAAUAUGUAUACGACUGUAGACAAUUAUAUUUGUUUUUAUAUAUUUGAGUAGGGCUUGGGUGUCACGUUUUUAUCUAGUUGGAUGGUAAACAAAUUCUGUUAAUUAAAGAGUCUGAAAAGUAUGUAGAAAUAACGAAAAUAUUUAUUAAUAGUUUAUUUAGGGUUAAUUUGUUCGGAAGUACCAUAGGGCAUGUUUUGAAUUCAUAAACAAAUUGAACUUGAGAUUUUAAGCAGACAUGGACAUUAGGGUGGAGUGAAAAAAAAAGUUGUCUUAUUUUUUGUUCUACAUAGCCAGGAUGGGUGCCAUUUGGAACUUAAAUAACGGCAAAAAAGUUUCAGAUCGAUCAAAGAAGUUUUAGAGGGUUCACAAGUCACUUGAAAAAAAUGAAAACACCAUAGAGGUUAAUUUAUGGAGUUUUUUGAGUUUUUACAGUUUUACUCAGUUUUUUUGAUUCGAAAAACAUGUACAUUAUUAUUUAUUGUUCAAUUUUCAUUAAAAAAUUGCGAUUUUAUUGACUUAAGGCCCUUACUACAAGAAUCCAUGGGCGGCGAGCACUCCCAACCCCCAUGAUCCAGCCACGUAAAAACAAAAAAUAAAGAAAUUUCUUAGACAAAAAUAGUUUUGGUUUUUUGUUAAUUUCUCGAAAAUGACAAGAUGUUUUUGGAUUCGGUUUUCUGUUUUUCCUUGAAAACAAAUAACAGCAUCGAAUGUUAAAAACUUAAGUAGUACUUAUAUACAUAAAAUUUUGAAAAAAAUUAGUUUGAAAUUUUUUUUUUCAAAAUUUUGAUUUCGAAAAUUAAUUUUUCGAAAACUGGGCCAGAAAAUGGCUAUAUUAAACAUUUUUGUAAAAGACGAGGUUUUUGGCUUUACAAAAAGGUAAAGCACGUUAUUGUAAGUAUAACCGUUGAUUUUUAAUAUUUUUUUGUUUCAAAUUAAAUAAUUUCUUUUUUAAAUUGCCCCUCCCCGCUAAACGAAGUUGAAUAGACCCUCCUCCCAUACGAUUUUUUUCUUGUCUCGACCGAACCUACACGCUCUAACUUUUUGGCACAUUGCUCCAUCUCUUUUGAAAAUUGCUCGCAGUACAUUACUUCCAACAAGCAUGUAAAUUUUAAAGGGCGUUGUGAACCCUCAAGAUAUUUUUUGAUCGGGCUGAGAUUUGGUAUGCUCUUUUUUGAUGACUAAUGGCACCCGUCCCUGGUAUGUAGAAGAAGAAAAAAAAAAAAGAAAAAAAAGUGCAGUUUCACUCCACCCUAAUGGACAUUGUGGUAAACGGAAAGGCAAAUAAUAAUUAUUUUAGGGAAUCCUAAUUAUUAGGGAAUCCCAAUUUUCUUAUCUUUCUUUCAGGCUACCUGAUUUCAACAAUUAUUUCUACGAGUUAAUGAGUUGAAUUGAUACUUUUUUGAAUUGUUACAUGUUAUGGAAAUUUAAAUUUGUCAGCUCAAACAGUGGUAAAUAAUAAUGAAACUUUUUUUGGACCAAAAAUAACGGUACUUGUCAUAUUCCGAUUUUAGUAAAAUUGAAAUAUCUCGAAAACAGCUCCAACGAUUUUGUUAAAAAAAUUUAAAUGUUUACAAUGAAAGGUCAGGACUGAGACACAUCAAAGCCGGAGUACCACAAGGAUCAAAGCUAGAUCUUAGCAAGCAGAAUGGACUCAGCAAAAAGACGAAACUACUCCUAUGCAACCAAACAAAAUAUUUGAAAUAUUUGUUUUUCUUUUUCAAAGUUAUUCAAAGUUAAUAAAAGAAUUUUAUGCACUUUUAAA